rnacentral:rRNA from 1 species
AGCAGUAGCCACGGUAAUACGUAGGUGGCAAGCGUUGUCCGGAAUUAUUGGGCGUAAAGCGCGCGCAGGUGGUUUAAUAAGUCUGAUGUGAAAGCCCACGGCUCAACCGUGGAGGGUCAUUGGAAACUGUUAAACUUGAGUGCAGGAGAGAAAAGUGGAAUUCCUAGUGUAGCGGUGAAAUGCGUAGAGAUGUGGAGGAACACCAGUGGCGAAGGCGACUCUCUGGUCUGUAACUGACGCUGAGGAGCGAAAGCGUGGGGAGCGAACAGGAUUAGAUACCCCUGUAGUCCCUGUCUCUUAUAC